CCCCCGCUUGCGCUCUCUCUCUCUCACUCUCUCAAAAUAAAUAAAAAUAAACUUAAAAAGAAAAGAAAAGAAAGGACACCUGCUUAUAGAUACGGACCUGUAGGAGAGCUCUGCGGAGAAAGCAGGCUAGAUAUGCUUAGCCCAGAUUGCACCAGGCUGCAAUCUGCCUGCAAGUCUAGAAAAGUCCACCCCCACCUGUCACUCACAUUUAAAAAUAUGUGCUCUCACUGCUAUUGCUGCUGCCGCCGUUCACGUGGGCAAAGCACUAAGAUGGCUCCAGGCCGACCAAGCGACCCAGGCUGCUAAGGCGCAGGUCCUGUGGAUCGCUGGGACCGGGCCUCAGAGGCCGGUCAGCACUGACUCUCCGGGGAGUGGUUCCACUUUGAUUUCCCUUGUGUCAAGCCGGGACGCCCCACGACGGUAAUUUUGAGACAAGUGUGGCAGUGCUCUUUCUCCCUCCUGCUUCGAUAGGUUGGUGACGUUUCCACUCCCAGCCCUGCCGAAGGCUAGGCUAAUUUCAGUCAGAAUGCCUCCCCUGGGUUAUUUUCUGGGGCCCCAGGAAGUGUGAGGUAUGUGCAUCUUCUCCCACAUUGCGGGGAGGUGCCCUGGAUUUACCCGGAGAGGCUUGUUCAACCAGGUGGGAGCGACUCGAGGACGCUUCCGUCCGCCUUCCAGCGCUUUCCGUCCUGCUACCAAAGACAGCCGAGGCAGCCCAUUUCGCUCCCCUGGCUUGACUUGGGAAGUUAAUAAGAUCAUAAGCUGAAGACCUAAGAACUGGCAAACUGUGCCAAGACGAAAAUCUCAGACUCCCCUGGGGAGAGAAAUAUUCGCUUGCCCUCCUGAAGAGGAGUCUCUUUUUGAAAGCAGUGGGGUCUCCCUCCACGUUAUGAUAGUUUCCCUCUCACCUCGAUAUUGUGGCCAACUGCAAAUUAAAACAGUGCUCUUUCCUGGCUUAUACUGUCUUAUCUGCUUGGCUUGGCAUUAGUCCUUAGGAGAAAUCUGGUCUCUCCUUCUUCCCCAGGGAAUUCUAAAUACUCUGCGGGGUUUUCUCCGCCCCCCCCCCCCAGAAGUCAUCGGUGAUGAUAAAAACAAACAGAUUUCGACGGCAUUUUAAACGUGUUAGUUAUCGAAGACCUAAUCAACCACCUGGACUUUUGACAUUUAUUGCGUGCUGAGAAUAUCACAGAAGAGGCGUCCAGUAAAUUUUUGUGGAAUGAUCGUCGAACCCGCACAGCAAAAGGACCUGCUAACCCUCACAUCUCAAGAGAAGCAGUAUACAGAACAACCGUCAAGAAAAGCAAUCAGUCGGGGUGCCUGGGUGGCUCAGUCGGUGAAGCGUCCGACUUCGGCUCAGGUCGUGAUCUCACGGUCCGUGAGUUUGAGCCCCG